rnacentral:rRNA from 1 species
AACGAACGCUGGCGGCAUGCCUAACACAUGCAAGUCGAACGAGACCUUCGGGUCUAGUGGCGCACGGGUGCGUAACGCGUGGGAACCUGCCCUUAGGUUCGGAAUAACUCCCCGAAAGGGGUGCUAAUACCGGAUAAUGUCUUCGGACCAAAGAUUUAUCGCCUUUGGAUGGGCCCGCGUUGGAUUAGCUAGUUGGUAGGGUAAAGGUCUACCAAGGCGACGAUCCAUAGCUGGUCUGAGAGGAUGAUCAGCCACACUGGGACUGAGACACGGCCCAGACUCCUACGGGAGGCAGCAGUGGGGAAUGUUGGACAAUGGGCGAAAGCCUGAUCCAGCAAUGCCGCGUGAGUGAUGAAGGCCUUAAGGUUGUAAAGCUCUUUUACCCGGGAUGAUAAUGACAGUACCGGGAGAAUAAGCUCCGGCUAACUCCGUG